GAUGAACGCUGGCGGCGUGCCUAAUACAUGCAAGUCGAGCGAACAGACGAGGAGCUUGCUCCUCUGACGUUAGCGGCGGACGGGUGAGUAACACGUGGAUAACCUACCUAUAAGACUGGGAUAACUUCGGGAAACCGGAGCUAAUACCGGAUAAUAUAUUGAACCGCAUGGUUCAAUAGUGAAAGACGGUUUUGCUGUCACUUAUAGAUGGAUCCGCGCCGCAUUAGCUAGUUGGUAAGGUAACGGCUUACCAAGGCAACGAUGCGUAGCCGACCUGAGAGGGUGAUCGGCCACACUGGAACUGAGACACGGUCAAGACUCCUACGGGAGGCAGCAGUAGGGAAUCGUCCGCAAUGGGCGAAAGCUUGACGGAGCAACGCCGCGUGAGUGAUGAAGGUCUUCGGAUCGUAAAACUCUGUUAUUAGGGAAGAACAAAUGUGUAAGUAACUAUGCACGUCUUGACGGUACCUAAUCAGAAAGCCACGGCUAACUACGUG
rnacentral:rRNA from 1 species